GACGACGACGGUAGUUAUUUGGUAGCCGCGUUGUAAUAAGGUCGCGUCGGACGAGUUGCAAAAAAAAAAACAACAACAACACAAUUCAACGGAAAAAACUGCCCACGGACGCAUCGGUGGUCGUGUAAACGUCGUAAAUAUCACCGAAACUGGCGCGAGCCCGCGCGCGUGUACGACUGGCGUAAUAUUAUUCCGUAUACAUAAAUGAGUCGUCCAAAAACCGAAAAAAAAGACAACAAAAAAACACGUACACACACAAACACACACGCACAAUUAUAAUUUAAUAAUUUAUUCGGGUAUUAAAUUUCCGACCCCGUCUUACGAUUCGGUCGCGGUAUAAGGUACAGCACGUGUAGGUAGAUGCUACGAACCAAAGCCGGACGUCGAAAAAAGUCCGGUAAACGAAAUCUGAC